AUUGAACGCUGGCGGCAGGCCUAACACAUGCAAGUCGAGCGAGCGGCGGUCGGGUGAGUAAUGCCUGGGCGUUGUCCAGUCGAGGGGGAUAACAGUUGGAAACGACUGCUAAUACCGCAUACGAUUGGCUUGGUCAGGGGGGGUUAGCUAGUUGGUGAGGUAAUGGCUCACCAAGGCGACGAUCCCUAGCUGGUCUGAUGGGAUGAUCGGCCACACUGGAACUGAGACACGGGCCAGACUCCUACGGGAGGCAGCAGUGGGGAAUAUUGCACAAUGGGGGAAACCCUGAUGCAGCCAUGCCGCGUGUGUGAAGAAGGCCUUCGGGUUGUAAAGCACUUUCAGCGAGGAGGCGUUACUCGCAGAAGAAGCACCGGCUAACUCCGUGCCAGCAGCCGCGGUAAUUC
rnacentral:rRNA from 1 species